rnacentral:rRNA from 1 species
CUCGUAGGCUGUUCGGUCAGUCAGAUGUGAAAGCCCUCGGCUUAACCGGGGAACUGCAUUUGAUACUGCCAGACUUGAGUGUCGGAGAGGGUGGCGGAAUUCCGGGUGUAGGAGUGAAAUCCGUAGAUAUCCGGAGGAACACCAGUGGCGAAGGCGGCCACCCGGACGACAACUGACGCUGAGGAGCGAAAGCGUGGGGAGCAAACA